GUUCUUCUUCGUCUGAGGAGACAAACAUAGCAAGAGGCGGGGGUGGACAGACGUGACCCUCUCUGUCCAGCUGGUAUCUGAAUGCAGGCCAUGCAGCAGCUGGGAAACCUGAAUGAAGUGUCAGACACUCAUUAGGAAGAGCAGAUGGUAAAUCCCAUCAGUCAGAGAGCAGGUGUGCACCGUUACCAUGGAAACCUUUGUCUUUGCCGAGGAGGAGGAGAGGCGGCGCUCUGAUCGGUCCUCUGUGAAUGAGUGAGUGGGCGGAGCUCACAGCGGAAAUCAGACCGGAAACAGCAGAGGGGAGAGGCCUCUGCGCUGCUGCAGCUGAACGGAAGAGGCCUCCACUGGGAGAGAUAACGGGAAGAAAAACCUCAUGUUAGGCCACGUCAUAGAAAUACACUGAUCUUUCUACUGAGGGUUACAGUGGUUUUGUUUUGUUUUUAUGAUUAUCAUAUGUGGUGUUGUUGAUAAUAUACAUAAACUUGUUUUGAAAAGAACAUUUCAUAAAUAUAUAUGCCUAUAUAUAUUAUGCUCUACCCACUAGACUAAGAUUUCUUAACAGUAAUAUUGUGAAAUAUUUUUACAAUUUCAAAUAGCUGUUUUCUAUGUGAAUAUCUGUUAAAAAUAUAAUUUAUUUCU